ACCUCUCCGCGUCCCGCUGGCCUCUUCGGAUGGAUUGCGCCUCUCCACACCGUGACUAACAGCACUCCCAUUCUGCUCUCCUGAGAAAGGGCCACGGGGCUCAGCCGGACAUGACACAGACGGCUCCUGGGAGGCUGCUGCAAGGGGGAGCAAGGGCAAGGGCACGGGGAGGAGGAAGGGCCCGGGCACUGGGCACCACUGGGCCCAAUAUCUGACACAGGCGGGAAGCUGAGAUGGGGAGAGGGCAGGAUGCCACAUGCGGUCCCCGUCUUUUCAAGAGUGAUAGUGACAGUGAGAGCUGCCAUUGGAUAGGUGCCAAGAGAGGGUUUGUGUUUCCCAGGCUUCAUCUUGCUCCAGUCAUGGGAAGUAGAGUAUUACCGUCCCCACUUUACAGAUGAGGAAACUGAGGCUCAGGAAGGACAAGUGACUAGUGCAAGAUCACAGAACAAAUAAUGGAACCAGGGCUCAGCCUGGGGCUGGGCAUCCUUGGAGCCAACGUUCUUGGCUAUUGUAUCCAGAGAGAAUCCAUUCUGCUUUUGGGUGGGGGACCUCUUGCCACCUUCCUUCUUUAGCAGGGCUGUAGCUGAACCUUCCUCGUUGGUGUGCUCUUGUACAGGGAAGCUUCACUUUCUGCCUGUUUGUUUGUGUGUGUGCCACAUGUUUGAGUAUCCCUCUGCAGCUGGCCAUUGUGGGGGGUUGAAGGCCACUGCAGCCUCAGUCCAAGAUCAGGAGGUCAGGAGCUCCAUGGUGAGCACAGGAAGUCCGUCUUUGGAAUUUGCGAGACUGUGUGUCCCAGGGGUUGACUUGGGGGUAUCCUGGAACUCCAAGUUAACGGCCCCAUCCUCUUUCCUCCACCAAGUCCUGCUCCUGCCACUGGAGCAAUGAUGCGCCAGGGCCCGAGGCAAAACAUCUGGGGACUUCGUGGAAGAGUAAAAGGACUCUUUUCUUUUCUGCUUUUGUUCAUUUCCUCAGAAUCACGUUCAGCUCCUGGAGAAGAGGGUGGAGCUUAGAAAGAUUUGGAGCUGAGUCCAGGCUCCACCAGUGGCCAGCAGUAUGACCUUGAACAAGUCCUGAACCUUCUUAAGGCUUGAGUUCCUCACUUGCACAAUUCCUAAACCAACUCAUAGAGACAUGAGGCUUAGAUGCCAUCGUGUGGGUGAAGUAUCCGAAAGUGAACCUGCUACCUGGUUGAGACCAAGGUGAAACACUUUUAGCAAAGCUUGCUGGAGAGAGGACAGGAAGCAGUGGAGUUGGGUGCCAGGCAUGUGGUCUAUCUGUGGUCUUGAUACUCUACCGCAGAAGAUUGUAACCACAAUGGUGAUAAUGAACAUUAUUAUGAUUCCCAUUUUGUGGAUGAGUCAAAGAAGAUCAAAGAUCCUGCCAGUGUCACAUAGUUAGGAUAUGGAGCUUCUGGAUACAAACCCAGGCUGUCUGGGAGGCCCUGAAGAGACUGAAUGGGAGAGUGUGACUGCUCCCUGCAAGCCCUCCCCAUGUCUGGACUAAGGAAAUAGCUCGAAGCACCAUCCCUCUCCUGGGAGCAGCAGCAGCGUCCAGAAUGGGGAAACUGAGGCUGAGGAGGGUAGCAGCUUGCAUGAGGCAAUGUAAAGAGCUAACACCCAGCCGGGGCUGGAACCCGGCUCUCCUGCUUCUGCCCAGCAGUGCCCAGGUGCCUCCUCUCCCGCCCUGUCUCUCCCCUUACUCCUAGCCCCCUCCCCCUAUUCCACCCCAACUGUGGGAGCUAGCGG